ACGCUCGACACCUACAGGCAGCAGUGGGGAAUAUUGCACAAUGGGGGAAACCCUGAUGCAGCGACGCCGCGUGAGCGAAGAAGUAUUUCGGUAUGUAAAGCUCUAUCAGCAGGGAAGAAACUGACGGUACCUGGCUAAGAAGCACCGGCUAAAUACGAGCCAGCAGCCGCGGUAAUCUGAGCGGGCUGGCAAGGC
rnacentral:rRNA from 1 species